AGGACUUUUUCACAGUGACUCUGCAUAGUGGGCCAUUCCUGGGAGAAGAAAAACAUUUAUUGCAGAGGUGAUGCAGAACCAUGAUACAGGUCCUCAAGUGCAACGCUGAUCUGAGCUGCUGCUGCCUUCGCCUGAUCCUCAACCAGCUUCCUCACAGACAGCCAGAGUCGUGUUCCUGAUCAAACAGGGUUUGGAGGGAAACCUCUGUCCACAUUCAGGGCAGCUGACGUCCCUCUGCUCCCC